GUACAAAAGCUGGAAUAUACACAUUAGACGAGAAGACCCUGUGGAGCUUCAAACCAACUAUUAAAAAGCACACUACAGCACCUAAUACGCGGUUUUAAGUUGGGGCGACUUCGGAAAAAAACAAAACUUCCAAGCACAGAACCACAAGUUCUAACGAUGGCCAACAAGCCAAGGUUUAAACUACAUCAGACCCAGUAUAACUGAUCAACGAACCAAGUUACCCCAGGGAUAACAGCGCUAUCUUCUUCAAGAGUCCAUAUCGACAAGAAGGUUUACGACCUCGAUGUUGGAUCAGGACACCCAAAUGGUGCAGCCGCUAUUAACGGUUCGUUUGUUCAACGAUUAACAGUCCUACGUGAUCU
rnacentral:rRNA from 1 species